CUGAUGGUUUUUUUGCUGCUUGUCUCUGUCCCCACACCCCAUUUUCACUUUGCUAAAAAUGACAGCAUGCUAACAGCACAAUCCUAACCACUGGGCUACUAGAAGUAAGUCUGAAUUGAAUUCAGUGGGGCUUGCUCAUUUGCCAAGAGACUACAGUGCAAUACAUCAGAUCACACCUCAUGCUGGCUCCAAGAGAAACACAAUGAUGGACAUGAAUACAUUAGCCAUGAAAAUCAGAGCCAUCGUCUUCCAUUCUUAAUAAGCAAACGGGGUCAUUUGUGGUCCACACUUUGCUCAUUGUUGUGAGAAGAAAUUGCUGAAGAAGGAUGCUACAGAUACUUGAAUACAGGAGUACCCAUUUGCCCCUCAAUAUCGUUGGGUAGCAAAAUGUACUUGAUAUUAGAUGCCAGUUAAAUAUGCUAAGGAAAACUGUUAUGCAACAAGAUCAUCAAAAAGCAUGUACAAUAGUAAUUUUAUAUUUAUGCAUGGGAUGCAUAUGGUAUAUUUUAUUAAAGAUCUUAGUGACCCA